UAUAAACUACAAAAACAUUCGUUUGCAUUAUACAUUCGCCAUUUUACGCAGCGAGUCAUCGGUUGUCCCGUGUCCUCUCUCCAAAAAACACUGUUUUAACGACCAUAUUUUUUUUUAACCUUCUGUGUAUUUCCAUCCAAAAACAUGGGAAAGGCAAAGGCAACGGUUCCCCCCGAGCAAAGAAGAACCUCUCCACGACUGGCACUGAAACCUAAAUCGGCACCAGUGGAGACCAAGAAAAAAGCUGUCGCAAAGAAGGCGGCACCCAAAGCAAAGAAGGCCAAGCCAGCGGAGAAUGGCAACAGCAAAGCUGAGGAGCCGAAGGCUGAAGCCACCGAAGCCAAAUGAACAGUUGAUGUGCUCUCUCUGUGUACUUGGUGAUUGUACAGUUUUAAAUAAGUAUUUUUUACCAAGUUUUAUAUUACAAAUGUCAUUUAUAGGUUUGUUUUGGGCUUGCACUUAAUGUAACAAAACUCUGUUUUCACAUUCAUUUUCAUUUUAUAUCAAUUUAAAAACGAUUACCGUCCAUAUCUUGUAGACGUGGCAUUUAUAGUUUGUCUAAUCUUUUUAUCUUAUUUUAUUUUAUUUUAAACUGCUGAGAAACAGCAUUGGAUUUAUAAUCUAAUUUUAAACAUAAGGCAGCUAAAGCAUAGUAAAAUUUUAAAGAGAAUAGGAACUUUGUCAUUUAUCUUCUUGUAUUUCAACGUUUAACUAAUUAAACAAUUGCUUAUCAAAUGUUUUGAAAACGUGCAUGUCAACAAAAAAAGAAUCUAGUCGUUAAAAUGCCACAGAAAACUUAUGUUUUUAGCUCCAAAGUGAUAGAUCCCAAAAAAACAUAGAUGAUGUAAAUCUGGUCAUCAGAUAAAAAAACUUUUUGUUAAGUUAUGUUUCUGUUAGAGGAAGAGAAAUCUUUCUGACCACAGUGGUUGACCUAAAUGUUCUUAAAUAAAAAUCUUGAAAAUGG